AAGGUAUGUCUUAUACUGCUGGAGCUGUAGAUAUAGGAGAAAAAUCCAAGCCGAGGAGGGACGGGGAGGAGAGAGGGGGGGCGCAAUUACUUUAGCGGUGCAGUGAAAAUGAUGAGCAGCAAAUGUUGCCUUUUUUCCCUCCUCCUUCUCGUCCCUCCACCCCCCACCCUCCACCCAAAAUGCAAGUCUUAGAGGAUUUCUGUGUCUCAAUGAAGUAAUAAUAAAGGCGGCUGACCACAGUCUGGGCUAGCGCCAACUGUGCGGGGGGGGGAGGGGGAGGAAUAUCCCUGCUCCCAGAGGCCUGAGGAGAAGAGGAAGAGUGGAGGAUUGUUGCAGCACAAGUUCUUGCUCUUGCUAAUACCAGGAGAUAUGAAACUGGUUAGUCCCCACAUGUUGCACAUAAAAAGAAUUCAUAAUGAGCAUCUGUGGGAUGUGGAAUGGAUCCCAUGAGUUAGCUGAAGACCUCAUAACGUGAAAAAAUAUCUCUUCGAUGGAAAUUCAUUUCCAUUUACUUAAAGUUAAACGGUUUGACUUUGAAUUUUCAUUAUCUGCUGUUGGAAGGAGCCUGUGACAGGUGAAGAAGAGUCUAUGGGUGGGAAUAAUGGAAAAUAUUUUGACUUUUGAGAGACUCUAAACUCUUCAAACCUAUUGUUAUAACAGAUGAUGCUUGACAUUGCAAAUCAUUCUGUCUUCCUUUUACUUGUAAGUCCUGUAAUCUGUAAUAAACUGUGUACAUGCA